GAUGUUAGCGUUUCACUUUUCAAAAUGAGAUUGACUCUCAUCUGGUCUUGGAAGCUAAGCAGGGUUGGGCCUGGUUAGUGUUUGGAUGGGAGACUGCCUGGGAAUACUGGAUGCUGAAGGCU
rnacentral:rRNA from 1 species